rnacentral:rRNA from 1 species
UACGUAGGGUGCGAGCGUUAAUCGGAAUUACUGGGCGGAAAGUGUGCGCAGGCGGCCGCGCAAGUCGAGUGUGAAAUCCCCGAGCUUAACUUGGGAAUUGCGCUCGAAACUACGUGGCUGGAGUGUGGCAGAGGAAGGUGGAAUUCCACGUGUAGCGGUGAAAUGCGUAGAGAUGUGGAGGAACACCGAUGGCGAAGGCAGCCUUCUGGGCCAACACUGACGCUCAUGCACGAAAGCGUGGGGAGCAAACAGG